UACGAAGGGGGCUAGCGUUGCUCGGAAUCACUGGGCGUAAAGGGUGCGUAGGCGGGUCUUUUAAGUCAGGGGUGAAAUCCUGGAGCUCAACUCCAGAACUGCCUUUGAUACUGAAGAUCUUGAGUUCGGGAGAGGUGAGUGGAACUGCGAGUGUAGAGGUGAAAUUCGUAGAUAUUCGCAAGAACACCAGUGGCGAAGGCGGCUCACUGGCCCGGUACUGACGCUGAGGUGCGAAACGUGGGGACAAACAGGGAUAAGAA
rnacentral:rRNA from 1 species